UAACACAUGCAAGUCGAACGGUAACAGGAAGCAGCUUGCUGCUUCGCUGACGAGUGGCGGACGGGUGAGUAAUGUCUGGGAAACUGCCUGAUGGAGGGGGAUAACUACUGGAAACGGUAGCUAAUACCGCAUAACGUCGCAAGACCAAAGAGGGGGACCUUCGGGCCUCUUGCCAUCGGAUGUGCCCAGAUGGGAUUAGCUAGUAGGUGGGGUAACGGCUCACCUAGGCGACGAUCCCUAGCUGGUCUGAGAGGAUGACCAGCCACACUGGAACUGAGACACGGUCCAGACUCCUACGGGAGGCAGCAGUGGGGAAUAUUGCACAAUGGGCGCAAGCCUGAUGCAGCCAUGCCGCGUGUAUGAAGAAGGCCUUCGGGUUGUAAAGUACUUUCAGUGGGGAGGAAGGGAGUAAAGUUAAUACCUUUGCUCAUUGACGUUACCCGCAGAAGAAGCACCGGCUAACUCCGUGCCAGCAGCCGCGGUAAUACGGAGGGCGCAAGCGUUAAUCGGAAUUACUGGGCGUAAAGCGCACGCAGGCGGUUUGUUAAGUCAGAUGUGAAAUCCCCGGGCUCAACCUGGGAACUGCAUCUGAUACUGGCAAGCUUGAGUCUCGUAGAGGGGGGUAGAAUUCCAGGUGUAGCGGUGAAAUGCGUAGAGAUCUGGAGGAAUACCGGUGGCGAA
rnacentral:rRNA from 1 species